UACAGAGGGGGCAAGCGUUGUUCGGAAUUACUGGGCGUAAAGGGCGCGUAGGCGGCCUGCUAAGUCGAACGUGAAAUCCCCGGGCUCAACCCGGGAACUGCGUCCGAUACUGGCAGGCUUGAAUCCGGGAGAGGGAUGUGGAAUUCCAGGUGUAGCGGUGAAAUGCGUAGAUAUCUGGAGGAACACCGGUGGCGAAGGCGGCUCACUGGCCCGGUACUGACGCUCAGGUGCGAAAGCGUGGGGAGCAAACAGG
rnacentral:rRNA from 1 species